rnacentral:lncRNA from 1 species
AGUACUGAAGGCAGAGACCAUGAAAAAGGAAACUGCCAAGUUCUGGCAGGGUGCCGUGUCCACAGGGAUGGAGAGGAGAAAAAAGUCCUUGGCAUUACUUAAAGAAGGCCAUUAGAUAUAUGUCACGUGUGAGAGUGAGGUUUGCAGCUGGGAAGUAAGCCUCUCUACCAUGGAGCAGAGCCAGCCCCCACCUUAAGUAUGGCACCUUCCACAAAGAGCAUCUUGCUCAGGCACGCCAUGAGUUAAUGGUCUGGAGAAAACUUUAUAAGCAAUCAUAAAUAAACUAAACACAAACAAGAAAUACUAGACCAAUAUGCCACUUUACUGGCCCAGCAAAACCUCCUUUGGGGACAGUUCUCAGCUGGGGCAUUGCUGUCUCCUUCAAUGGACAUUUGCUGUUGUUGUAAAAAUAAGUAAACAUUGCUUGCGGACAAAUGCGCAGGACUCUCUGACCCAAGGAGUUUAUAGGAAACUGCCUCCCAGUUUUUGGACUACCUGACCACUUAGACAACUUGAGAAAGAGCUCCUGCGGCCUGGCAGGUCCUGGGGCGGGGAUCAUCGUCCUGGAAAGCUCAGUUCUGCGGGUGCUAGGAGUAGAGUCUGCAUCUUGUGGGCUCCUCUCCUAGUCAGCUUCCUAAGUGGCAGCGCUGCAGGACCAAGGAUAGAAAUUGUUGAGUGAAGAGCGGAUUGGACUUGAAAACAGAUGCUACCUUGGCCUAUAAGAGAAAAGAAGGAAUCUCUGGGCACAGAUAUAGAUAAAAUUAUGAGCAAAAGUGGUGAAGCAAGGAGUAGCUGCAAUCCAAGUAUAUACAUGGUUGUGAAGUUAAGCACUGUGGGAGGGGCUGUUGCUGCGGCAGCUGCGGUGGCACCUCUAAUCUGCCGCUAGGUGGCAGGAGAAUUCCACCAUCGCCACUAACCGCAUCUGGGACUUUGGCUUCACCCUAGAAGCGGGAUAUGGGAUUGGAUUUCUUCCUUCUGAUAAGACAGUAUGCGGUGGCAAGUAGGGCUGAUGGUCCCCUGUCCACAGGAAGAGAGUAUGACCACAAGAACGUCCUUUUGUGUACACCAGCCUGGUGUGUGCUUGAAUAUCCUUCCUCAAAACACUCAGGCCAGUUCAUUCCCUUGUCCCUUUCCUGCCUAGACCAGGUUCAUAGCCAAGGGCUGACCGCGGUUGUUCAGCAACUUCAGGCGUUGCCGGCUGC